GUCGAAGCCCCAUGAUGAUUUCGGAGACUUGAUGCACUAAUCGAUCGAAUCCGACGAUGAAACCAAUUUCCCAGUGAACCUGUUUGCGGCGAUUUGUUAACUGUCGCUGGAUUAUUUUAUUUUUUUAUUUGGCUGGGAUGUCGGUUUCUCCAUUGUGGAAAGUCUCUUUGGCGGAUGGACGAAUCCAGGUGAAUGGCAAUGGAGGAGGUACACACACACACACACACACCGUGUACAUCGAUGUAUGUGGAGUACACGUACCUGCAUGGAACAUCUGAGAGCAAAACGGCUGGAGCUCGUGCCACGCAGAGAGAAAUCAGAUGAGCGGGCGACCGUGGCGGCUAUCAGCAGCAGCAGCCGCAUGGAAAGAAGAAAAGUGAAACCAUCGCUUGGAUUUGAAGAACGAGUCUCCUCCUCCAUUUGUUUUGGCGUCCAGCAUUUGAAAUUGGUCGUAUUUUCUUCUUAGAAAAAAAAACAACAGCAGCUGGCCAGCCCGUUGCUGCCGUGGUGGCCAGCAUUUGCUUUCGCCAAACCGAGAGGCAGUGGGGGUAUUAUAGUCAAAGUUAUGGCGCAUCUCAUCAUCAUAAUCGGCCGCAGACGACACAGGCGACUGUCGUUGUCUCACGCUCCUCAUCAUGGCGACCUCCCACGGUUGUCAUUAAAGAGACGGCCGUUAAUGCGUUGGAUAUUUUCGCAGAGCCGCUCAGUCGCACGAUAUCGUAAACUUUCUGUUUAACCAAUGGGCCAUUAUGCAUCCCGGUCGUCGUCGUCGGCUGUGUGUGUGUGUGUAUCUCAUUUCACCUGAUGUCGUCAUGCCGAGAUUCAAGUUGGAAAACAGAAGACCACCACAUCCUCUCUCUCUCUCUCUUUUUUCUUGGAAAAUUGAGUUAGUUCCAUUGUCCAUCCGUCCCCAGAAAGAGAAACAUGCUACAGAUAUUCGACUCAAGUCAUUAAAAAUUUGGAGGGGCUCGCGACUUGAGAAUGGACCCAUUUUGGCAGCUACAACCGACCAGCAACAGUUCAAUAAAAGAAAGUUAAGAUUAUUGAGUCGUCAAGAUCGACACUACACACUCAAGAUAACUAGCAGCCGCGUAAACCGAGGGAAGGGCCGCGUUCACCGCGAUGCACGAUAUAAUUCCCGAUUGGCUUGCUGACAAUCCAUCGGUAGCUGGUCGAUGUCGACAUACAAAAUGAACAUGAUUACGUAUACAACAAUACGGAUUUGGCAAUUUCUGCCUGGCACCUGGACGUCAAAGACACGAACGCACUUGUCAAAACCGCAAUACAAUUUUUCUCCGUCUGGACUGAUGC
rnacentral:lncRNA from 1 species